GAUGAACGCUGGCGGCGUGCCUAAUACAUGCAAGUCGAGCGAACGGACGAGAAGCUUGCUUCUCUGAUGUUGUCGGCGGACGGGUGAGUAACACGUGGAUAACCUACCUAUAAGACUGGGAUAACUUCGGGAAACCGGAGCUAAUACCGGAUAAUAUUUUGAACCGCAUGGUUCAAAAGUGAAAGACGGUCUUGCUGUCACUUAUAGAUGGAUCCGCGCUGCAUUAGCUAGUUGGUAAGGUAACGGCUUACCAAGGCAACGAUGCAUAGCCGACCUGAGAGGGUGAUCGGCCACACUGGAACUGAGACACGGUCCAGACUCCUACGGGAGGCAGCAGUAGGGAAUCUUCCGCAAUGGGCGAAAGCCUGACGGAGCAACGCCGCGUGAGUGAUGAAGGUCUUCGGAUCGUAAAACUCUGUUAUUAGGGAAGAACAUAUGUGUAAGUAACUGUGCACAUCUUGACGGUACCUAAUCAGAAAGCCACGGCUAACUACGUG
rnacentral:rRNA from 1 species